CUCGCUCAAUACAGACGAGUGAAGGCAAGAGCGGCGUGUCGACCUCUUCAUUUAUCUGUCACUAUUCCCCUUGUUUAAGGACUGUCUUUAUUGGUUCCUGUUAUGUGGUUCUUUAAUAUUCAUUCAAAGUGAGCGGACUAUCAGAUGACUCCCAUCCAGCUGGACACUAUAUAAUGAAUUCCCUGUAACCAUACUCCACCUUCAGAGAAUUUCACUCCCCCAAGUCAUUUUCAUCGACUGCUGCUGCAGACGAAAAACAAACCGCUCAUCAGCCAGUCGCAAACUGAGGGAAUCAUGAGGGUUCAGUGUGCCUGUUUGCUGCUGCUGCUGCUUUUUGCUGCUGUGCUCUCUCAGAGUUAUAAGGACUUCAAAAAUGAGCACUUCCUUCCAGUGAAGGGCUCUCAAAAGUGUUAUGACAUGAUGAAAAAUAUUAAUAAAAAAAGUGAAUGCAAGGAAAUACAUACCUUCAUCAAAGAUCAAGAAGCUUCAGUUAAGGUUUUGUGCAAGGGUAAAAAAGAGGAAGUAAUCACCCCUGAGCUGAAUGUUAUUGACUGCGUGAGGUCAAAUGAGACACCCUGCGCGUACAAUGACACACCACAGACCAUAAAGAAGAAGAUAAAAUGUAAAAAAGGCCGUCCUGUGUACCUUGAGAAAGCUGAGUAGCAUCAGAGUUGAAUCAGCUGUUGUCCUCUUCAGUAAACAGCAUUUCUUCAAAUGUGAUGAUGUUCACGUGGCUGUCAUCUAAAAAUCAAAGAUUAUUCUGAAAAUAUUAAAAACCAUGUAGAC